ACCCGAGUGCUGUAAUUCGGUAGCCAGAUUUAACUUAAGAUUAAAUGACGCAAGUCGUGAACGUUCAAGUCGUUCCUCGGGUA